ensembl:lncRNA
UGCUCUUCCUGUCCACUGGGGGCUCUGCGGGCAGGAAUUGGGGUACUCUUCAGAGAGCCAACUUUUUUUCUUCUUUUUUUUUUUUUUUUUUUUUUUUUUUUUUUUUUUUUUUUUUUUUUUUUUUUUUUUUUUUUUUGCUGAUCCGGAGUCCAGCUGAAACCUCUCUCUGUCUGGAGCACCCCAAAUCAGGCACGUUGCCAUUGGUAGGGCUUGUGCUGUGCCCUGGACUGAUAGGAUCCUGAUAGGAUUCUGGUUCCAAGACAAAGUGCGGCCGCCAGUCAGCUCUGCCACAGGCAGGCAUAGAGCAGCACAAGUAAAAUGGGGAAAGUCUCUUCCGCUUACCCCUCAGUCCUUUAUGGAGCUUCUGUUUAAAACAAGGGGAGGACGCCCCCAGUUUUUCGGAGCACAGAACUCUAGAGUCACAACCUUCGAGCUGGAAGUUCCCUCGUGCAGAGCGGCCCACCUCCUAAUUUUACAAAACAAUUAAACAGUUGCAAUGGCUUUGUUGAAAGUAUAUUUGUUUAAAAAAAGAAACCGCGCCCGAGAGCUCGUUGCUUCAAUGCUGUUGGGAUGUAUGUGCCUGCCGGGGAAUUUUGGUGCUGGGCGAAUCGCAGGUCCCGAGUUGCGAGCCUGGGUCCAGCUAGGCGGCAGCCUCUAGGCGGGCAUUAUUCACGCCCCUCGCGGUGCCCUCCUCCUCCCUCACCCGCUCUUCCUUCCAAUAGGGCCAAUUAGGUAUCUGCACUAGGCUGGCCAGUUGGGGGCUGAGGAGGGGUUUUAUCAAGACAAUCCUGUGGACAAAUACCCGGGCGGGUCUCGCCUCAGCGUUUUUCAGGGAGAGUCAGUGCAGCAAGGCAAGCAGGGGCUCACUGGGGAAGCGACGUCCUUUGCACAAUAAAAGUG